rnacentral:lncRNA from 1 species
NGCCGUCCGGCCGCCGGCGACCAACCCUAGCUCUACUGCUCAGGUUAGGCUGCAUUUAAAUUCCUGUGCACUGUUCUGGGGUUCCGAUUGCCUUUCCGGCGAUCCGAGGGCACUCCGAUAAAUGGGGAAGUGAGCACGAUGACCCUGGGUUCGUGCUGAACAUCGUGCUCACCCCCGUUAGAGUAAAUGAUGUCCUGGUUAGCGAGUU